AGCGAACGCUGGCGGCAGGCUUAACACAUGCAAGUCGAACGGGCGUAGCAAUACGUCAGUGGCAGACGGGUGAGUAACGCGUGGGAACGUACCUUUUGGUUCGGAACAACCCAGGGAAACUUGGGCUAAUACCGGAUAAGCCCUUACGGGGAAAGAUUUAUCGCCGAAAGAUCGGCCCGCGUCUGAUUAGCUAGUUGGUGUGGUAACGGCGCACCAAGGCGACGAUCAGUAGCUGGUCUGAGAGGAUGAUCAGCCACAUUGGGACUGAGACACGGCCCAAACUCCUACGGGAGGCAGCAGUGGGGAAUAUUGGACAAUGGGCGCAAGCCUGAUCCAGCCAUGCCGCGUGAGUGAUGAAGGCCCUAGGGUUGUAAAGCUCUUUUGUGCGGGAAGAUAAUGACGGUACCGCAAGAAUAAGCCCCGGCUAACUUCGUGCCAGCAGCCGCGGUAAU
rnacentral:rRNA from 1 species